UGCAAGUCGUGCGAGAAAGUACCCUCGGGUGCGAGUAGAGCGGCGGACGGGUGAGUAACGCGUAGGAAUCUACCUAGUAGAAGGGGAUAGCCCGAGGAAACUCGGAUUAAUACCGUAUACCUCCUCAGGGAGAAAGAGGGCUUAGCUUUGAUGCUCUCGCUAUUAGAUGAGCCUGCGUAAGAUUAGCUUGUUGGUGAGGUAAUGGCUCACCAAGGCGACGAUCUUUAGCUGGUCUGAGAGGACGAUCAGCCACAUUGGGACUGAGACACGGCCCAGACUCCUACGGGAGGCAGCAGUGGGGAAUAUUGGACAAUGGGCGCAAGCCUGAUCCAGCCAUACCGCGUGUGUGAAGAAGGCUUUCGGGUUGUAAAGCACUUUAAGUAAGGAGAAAAAGAUUGUAGUUAAUACCUGCAAUCCUUGAUGUUACUUACAGAAUAAGGACCGGCUAAUUCCGUGCCAGCAGCCGCGGUAAUACGGAAGGUCCAAGCGUUAAUCGGAAUUACUGGGCGUAAAGCGCGCGUAGGUGGUUUUUUAAGUUGGAUGUGAAAGCCCUGGGCUCAACCUAGGAACUGCAUCCAAAACUAGAUGACUAGAGUACGAAAGAGGGAAGUAGAAUUCACAGUGUAGCGGUGGAAUGCGUAGAUAUUGUGAAGAAUACCAAUGGCGAAGGCAGCUUCCUGGUUCUGUACUGACACUAAGGUGCGAAAGCGUGGGUAGCGAACAGGAUUAGAUACCCUGGUAGUCCACGCCGUAAACGAUGACAACUAGCUGUUGGGAGACAAGAUCUCUCAGUGGCGCAGCUAACGCUUUAAGUUGUCCGCCUGGGGAGUACGGCCGCAAGGCUAAAACUCAAAUGAAUUGACGGGGACCCGCACAAGCGGUGGAGCAUGUGGUUUAAUUCGAUGC
rnacentral:rRNA from 1 species